rnacentral:rRNA from 1 species
CCUACGGGAGGCAGCAGUGGGGGAUAUUGGACAAUGGGGGAAACCCUGAUCCAGCGACGCCGCGUGAGUGAAGAAGUAUUUCGGUAUGUAAAGCUCUAUCAGCAGGGAAGAAAGAAAUGACGGUACCUGAGUAAGAAGCCCCGGCUAACUACGUGCCAGCAGCCGCGGUAAUACGGAGGCUGCGAGGGUUAUCCGGAUCUAUUGGGUUUAAGGGGUGCGUAGGCGGACUGUUAAGUCAGCGUGAAAAGCCCGGGCUUCACCCCCGGAGAGCCGUUGAAACUGGCUGUCUUGAGAUUACGAGAGGUAUGCGGAAUGCGCAGUGUAGCGGUGAAAUGCUUAGAUAUUGCGCAGAACUCCGAUUGCGAAGGCAGCAUACCGGCGGCGAUCUGACGCUGAGGCACGAAAGCGUGGGUAUCGAACAGGAUUAGAUACCCUUGUAGUC